rnacentral:rRNA from 1 species
GCACAACGCGAAGAACCUUACCCGGGCUUGAAAUGCGGUGGACCGGCGGAGAGAUCCGCCCUCCCUUCGGGGCCACCGUGUAGGUGCUGCAUGGUUGUCGUCAGCUCGUGCCGUGAGGUGUCGGCUUAAGUGCCAUAACGAGCGCAACCCUCAUCAUUAGUUACUAACAGGUAAAGCUGAGGACUCUAGUGAGACUGCCAUCGUAAGAUGCGAGGAAGGUGGGGAUGACGUCAAAUCAGCACGGCCCUUACGUCCGGGGCGACACACGUGUUACAAUGGGUGGUACAAAGGGCAGCUACCUGGCGACAGGAUGCCAAUCCCCAAAACCACUCUCAGUUCGGAUCGGAGUCUGCAACUCGACUCCGUGAAGCUGGAUUCGCUAGUAAUCGCGCAUCAGCCACGGCGCGGUGAAUACGUUCCCGGGUCUUGUACACACCG